rnacentral:rRNA from 1 species
GAAUGCUGACAUAAGUAACGAUAAAGCGGGUGAAAAGCCCGCUCGCCGGAAGACCAAGGGUUCCUGUCCAACGUUAAUCGGGGCAGGGUGAGUCGACCCCUAAGGCGAGGCCGAAAGGCGUAGUCGAUGGGAAACAGGUUAAUAUUCCUGUACUUGGUGUUACUGCGAAGGGGGGACGGAGAAGGCUAUGUUGGCCGGGCGACGGUUGUCCCGGUUUAAGCGUGU